UGUCAAGGUUUCAGUUAGACUAAGCUAACUUUUUUCAGGAUGAAAGUUAGCUUAGUCUAACUGAAAUGUUAACAAC